rnacentral:misc_RNA from 1 species
AUCGGCUAAAACCCUGCAAGGCCUGCGACCUGGACUAGAAGCUCAUGGUUUAUUGUUUAGGGUUUUGAAUUAGCAAAGUUGCUAGUCGGAUUCCUAAAUUUUCAAGAAUCAGCAUGGCUUCGUCUCCAAAACCCAGUCUUCUUAUCGGGGAAAAUUAUGGCCUCGCACUCCACCAAUCAAUGCAACAACUCCUAGAUGAAAUCCACAAAGAAACCUUAAAUUUGUCUCAUUUCGUCAACAUGUUCUACCGAUUAAUGCAAUCGAAAAUCGAUUCUCCUAUAGAAACGAUCUGGGUCUACUCUGCUUUAUCCUUCAGGAGCCGAAAAACAACAAACCAGGAUCUUUCAAAUCAUAUUUUGAUUGCAGAGGAACUGUUUCAACUGGUUUCUGGAUGCUCAGGUCCGUGUAGUGCUUCGAAAAGCAUAGCAUUGCUAGCUCCGGUUGUUUUCCAAAUGUAUAAAUUGGUUUUUGAGUUAUUAGGCAAAGAUUUGGGAGCUAAGAGGAUGAAGAAAGCAGCUAAAGAGGUCAAGUCUUUGAUUGGAGAGAUUCUUGGAUAUGUAAGUGUGUGUUGUAGCAAGGAUAUCAGCAAGGAAAGUGAUUCAAAUUUGAGUGUAUCAUUUUCAGAUUUGGUUAGUGUCUGGAUGGAUGGGAACGAAGGCUUGAGGGCUUUUUUACCUCUCAUGAGUGAUGAGAUACGUAAAGAGAUUAGUAUUGGAGGGUCAACUGUCAUAUACUUAGCUGGAGUUGUCAUUUGUGAGGUUUUCUUGUUGAAGCUAUGCUUGGAUUUACGGAUGGGGAAUCGAGGAGUGGAGUUGGAGAAGGAACUGAGGAGUUGGAUUGUUGGCUCAAUAACUGGGUUGCAGAGCUUCUACUUCUUCGAGACUCUUGUAAGGAUGCUGUUGGAGCCAACCUUACCUGUGACUUCACUGUUGAGUUCCGAAGAUGAAAGUUUUUUGAGAACAAUUCUAUAUGAUGCUGCUAUUUUGGUAGAAUAUUCUUUCCUCAGUCCUGAGAGAGCAAUUAACGUACCAUCCAAUCGGGUGACAGAUCUUGCAAUGAAAAGAUUGAUCAUUACACAUGAAGCCAUAGAGCUUUUCAGGAAAAAUGGGGACCAAAAGAGAGCUAUUGCGUAUACUAGUUCAUUCUCCAGUUCUGGGCUAUGUUCCCAAAUUAUCCAGUGUAUCACCAGCCAGGUUGGCAUGGAUGAAGAAACAAGUAGAUUGAAGGGAGCAUCACCUAAAGCUCUUAUAAAGUUGUUACUAAACCUUGAUGGUCAAGGCAUAAGGCUAUUUGAUGAUACAAUCUCCAAAUUUCAUGCCAAAUUAGCUCUUGAUGAUUCCAAAUCUGACUAUGAGCAAUCAACAUCUAAGCCAGAGGGAAAGAAAGCAGAUGCUGAUGUUCUGUUUUGCAUUGAUAACAAAGGAGAAGAGGAAGACCAUCAUGAGGAUGAUAAGGAGAUAAAUGAGUCCAUGAGUGCUGCAUUUGUAGCUUCUGCACAGAAAAUGAGAUUGACAGAAAAUGGAGGAAGAAAAAGGAAAGAGGAGAGAAAUUCCAGAAAAAAGAAAAAGAUUAAACUUCUUAAGCAUAACCACUCUGAUACUUCUGAUUCAGAUGAAGAGAGGUCCUCAUCUGUCAAUGAUGAUGGUUCAGAUUCAGAUAGUGAGAGCGAAGUCGAGAAUCCAAUCUCUGAUGAAGACGUUUGAGUGAAGGGGCAGUGGGUUUCCUUGAAGAGAAAAUAUGGCAAUUAUGUUAUAGUUACUUCAAAGUCUAUGUUCAAAUGUGCAAUAGCAUUUGCUGAUAUACUUGUCCUCGCAAAGGAUUUGAAGUUGCAUUGUAGCCGUUCAUGAAUAGACAAUGUUGGAGUAUGCAUGAAUGCACCUUUUCUUUACAAAAUAGUUCACUUUCUUUUCCAGAAAGCAAUAGCUGUUAUUUUUCCCGUAGUUGCCCCUGCAAUUUCACUAGUUAUUUCUAUGAGCUAGCACUUACAUCCUAUGUAAGAAAAUGAAUCAAAGUUGGUUAGGCUGGACUGUGAUCAGGUUGAGUCUCCAGUAUUCAUCUUUACGAUGCAAGAGACUUCUGAUUUGGUGCUCAAGGAAUUUAUUUUUUUUCUUAUAAUAUAUUUUUGUAUUUGAAUUUAGGUGAAAAUGUAUAAUUUUUAAGAUCCAUUUUCAUUCCAUUUUAAAGCGAACCCAAUGUUCU